rnacentral:rRNA from 1 species
UACGGGGGGGGCAAGCGUUGUUCGGAAUUACUGGGCGUAAAGGGCUCGUAGGUGGCCAACUAAGUCAGACGUGAAAUCCCUCGGCUUAACCGGGGAACUGCGUCUGAUACUGGAUGGCUUGAGUUUGGGAGAGGGAUGCGGAAUUCCAGGUGUAGCGGUGAAAUGCGUAGAUAUCGGGAAGAACACCCGUGGCGAAGGCGGCUCUCUGGGACGGUACUGACGCUGAGACGCGAAAGCGUGGGGAGCGAACAGG